rnacentral:rRNA from 1 species
ACGUUAAUCGGGGCAGGGUGAGUCGACCCCUAAGGCGAGGCCGAAAGGCGUAGUCGAUGGGAAACAGGUUAAUAUUCCUGUACUUGGUGUUACUGCGAAGGGGGGACGGAGAAGGCUAUGUUAGCCGGGCGACGGUUGUCCCGGUUUAAGCAUGUAGGCUGGUUAUCCAGGCAAAUCCGGAUAAUCAAGGCUGAGGUGUGAUGACGAGGCACUACGGUGCUGAAGUAACAAAUGCCCUGCUUCCAGGAAAAGCCUCUAAGCAUCAGGUAACAUCAAAUCGUACCCCAAACCGACACAGGUGGUCAGGUAGAGAAUACCAAGGCGCUUGAGAGAACUCGGGUGAAGGAACUAGGCAAAAUGGUGCCGUAACUUCGGGAGAAGGCACGCUGGUGUGUAGGUG